rnacentral:rRNA from 1 species
ACCUACGGGGCGCAGCAGUAGGGAAUCUUCCACAAUGGGCGAAAGCCUGAUGGAGCAACGCCGCGUGGGUGAAGAAGGUCUUCGGAUCGUAAAACCCUGUUGAUAGAGAAGAAAGUGCGUGAGAGUAACUGUUCACGUUUCGACGGUAUCUAACCAGAAAGCCACGGCUAACUACGUGCCAGCAGCCGCGGUAAUACGUAGGUGGCAAGCGUUAUCCGGAUUUAUUGGGCGUAAAGGGAACGCAGGCGGUCUUUUAAGUCUGAUGUGAGAGCCUUCGGCUUAACCGGAGUAGUGCAUUGGAAACU